GUUCACUCACAGCAUUCUCUGCAAGGUGUUACAGUAAACUAGCAGCUACUCAGACUAAUUACUUAAGCAGACUUCUGAUAAUAUAAACCGCAUAAUAGGCAGAGCUUCUACUAACAAGCAAUACGAUUAG